rnacentral:lncRNA from 1 species
AUUGGUGGGAAGAAUGGGCUUCUAAUCAUGUGAUAUUGAAAAUUUUUAUAUGUGAUUGUUCUCUCCGGCUGACUUCGAUUGAUCCCGAGUUGAGCUCCGCUUUGACUGAUCUUCACUUGGUGCUCUGAAAUGCUACUACACGGGACACAGGGGGCUUUGCCUGUUGAUCACACUCCGAUGAUCAAGUCAGUGAGAGCAUUCAA